rnacentral:rRNA from 1 species
GUUGUAUAGUCAAGUAAUUAAGUGCAUGUGGUGGAUGCCUUGGCAGUCAGAGGCGAUGAAAGACGUGAUAGCCUGCGAAAAGCUCCGGGGAGGCGGCAAAUAUCCUUUGAUCCGGAGAUGUCUGAAUGGGGGAACCCACCUACUUUAAGGUAGGUAUUGCAACAUGAAUACAUAGUGUUGCAAGGCGAACGAGGGGAAGUGAAACAUCUCAGUACCCUUAGGAAAAGAAAUCAAUUGAGAUUCCCUCAGUAGCGGCGAGCGAACGGGGAUCAGCCCAUUAAGUUAUGUGUGUUUUAGUGGAACGCUCUGGGAAGUGCGAACGUAGAGGGUGAUAUUCCCGUACACGAAAGGGCACACAUAAUGAUGACGAGUAGGGCGAGGCACGUGAAACCUUGUCUGAAUAUGGGGGGACCAUCCUCCAAGGCUAAAUACUCCUGACUGACCGAUAGUGAACCAGUACCGUGAGGGAAAGGCGAAAAGAACCCCUGUGAGGGGAGUGAAAUAGAUCCUGAAACCGCAUGCAUACAAGCAGUGGGAGCACCUUCGUGGUGUGACUGCGUACCUUUUGUAUAAUGGGUCAGCGACUUAUAUUCAGUAGCGAGGUUAACCGUAUAGGGGAGCCGUAGAGAAAUCGAGUCUUAAUAGGGCGUUUAGUUGCUGGGUAUAGACCCGAAACCAGGCGAUCUAUCCAUGAGCAGGUUGAAGGUUGGGUAACACUAACUGGAGGACCGAACCCACUGUCGUUGAAAAGCCAGGGGAUGACUUGUGGAUAGGGGUGAAAGGCUAAUCAAGCCUGGUGAUAGCUGGUUCUCCCCGAAAGCUAUUUAGGUAGCGCCUCGGACGAAUACCAUAGGGGGUAGAGCACUGUUUCGGCUAGGGGGUCAUCCCGACUUACCAAACCGAUGCAAACUCCGAAUACCUAUGAGUACUAUCCGGGAGACAGACUGCGGGUGCUAACGUCCGUAGUCAAGAGGAAAACAAUCCAGACCGCCAGCUAAGGCCCCAAAAUCAUAGUUAAGUGGGAAACGAUGUGGGAAGGCAUAGACAGCUAGGAGGUUGGCUUAGAAGCAGCCACCCUUUAAAGAAAGCGUAAUAGCUCACUAGUCGAGUCGGCCUGCGCGGAAGAUGUAACGGGGCUAAAACUAUGUGCCGAAGCUGCGGAUNNNNNNNNNNNNNNNNNNNNNNNNNNNNNAUGCUGGAGGUAUCAGAAGUGCGAAUGCUGACGUGAGUAACGACAAAACGGGUGAAAAACCCGUUCGCCGAAAGACCAAGGGUUCCAGUCCAACGUUAAUCGGGGCUGGGUGAGUCGACCCCUAAGGCGAGGCCGAAAGGCGUAGUCGAUGGGAAAAUGGUUAAUAUUCCAUUACUUCUGUGUAAUGCGAUGAGAGGACGGAGAAGGCUAAAUCAGCCUGGCGUUGGUUGUCCAGGUGAAAGGAUGUAGGCAUGUAUCUUAGGCAAAUCCGGGGUACUCUAUGCUGAGAUCUGAUAGCAAGCUGUACUUGUACAGCGAAGUGGUUGAUGCCAUGCUUCCAGGAAAAGUCUCUAAGCUUCAGUUACACAGGAAUCGUACCCGAAACCGACACAGGUGGUCAGGUCGAGUAGACCAAGGCGCUUGAGAGAACUCUGCUGAAGGAACUAGGCAAAAUGGUACCGUAACUUCGGGAGAAGGUACGCUGUUGUUGGUGAUGGAACUCGCUUCCUGAGCUGACGACAGCCGCAGAAACCAGGCCGCUGCAACUGUUUAUUAAAAACAUAGCACUCUGCAAACACGAAAGUGGACGUAUAGGGUGUGAUGCCUGCCCGGUGCUGGAAGGUUAAUUGAUGGGGUUAGCGUAAGCGAAGCUCUUGAUCGAAGCCCCAGUAAACGGCGGCCGUAACUAUAACGGUCCUAAGGUAGCGAAAUUCCUUGUCGGGUAAGUUCCGACCUGCACGAAUGGCAUAAUGAUGGCGGCGCUGUCUCCAGCAGAGGCUCAGUGAAAUCGAAAUCGCUGUGAAGAUGCAGUGUACCCGCGGCUAGACGGAAAGACCCCGUGAACCUUUACUGCAGCUUGACACUGAACUUUGACCUUACUUGUGUAGGAUAGGUGGGAGGCUUUGAAGCUGGAACGCUAGUUCCAGUGGAGCCGUCCUUGAAAUACCACCCUGGUAAUGUUGAGGUUCUAACUCUGUCCCGUGAUCCGGGACGAGGACCGUGUCUGGUGGGUAGUUUGACUGGGGCGGUCUCCUCCUAAAGAGUAACGGAGGAGUACGAAGGUGCGCUCAGCGUGGUCGGAAAUCACGCGUAGAGUAUAAAGGCAAAAGCGCGCUUAACUGCGAGACCCACAAGUCGAGCAGGUACGAAAGUAGGUCUUAGUGAUCCGGUGGUUCUGUAUGGAAGGGCCAUCGCUCAACGGAUAAAAGGUACUCUGGGGAUAACAGGCUGAUACCGCCCAAGAGUUCAUAUCGACGGCGGUGUUUGGCACCUCGAUGUCGGCUCAUCUCAUCCUGGGGCUGAAGCAGGUCCCAAGGGUAUGGCUGUUCGCCAUUUAAAGAGGUACGCGAGCUGGGUUUAGAACGUCGUGAGACAGUUCGGUCCCUAUCUACCGUGGGCGCUGGAAAUUUGAGAGGAUCUGCUCCUAGUACGAGAGGACCAGAGUGGACGAACCUCUGGUGUACCGGUUGUGACGCCAGUCGCAUCGCCGGGUAGCUAUGUUCGGAAGGGAUAACCGCUGAAAGCAUCUAAGCGGGAAGCCUACCUCAAGAUAAGAUUUCCCUAGGACUUUAUGUCCUCUAAAGAGCCGUUCGAGACUAGGACGUUGAUAGGUUGGAUGUGGAAGCAUAGUGAUAUGUGAAGCUGACCAAUACUAAUUGCUCGUGAGGCUUGACUAUACAACACCCAAGCAGUUG